rnacentral:rRNA from 1 species
GGGGAAUAUUGCACAAUGGGCGCAAGCCUGAUGUAGCGACGCCGCGUGAGGGAUGGAGGCCUUCGGGUUAUAAACCUCUUUUAUCGGGGAGCAAGCGAGAGUGAGUUUACCCGUUGAAUAAGCACCGGCUAACUACGUGCCAGCAGCCGCGGUAAUACGUAGGGUGCAAGCGUUAUCCGGAAUUAUUGGGCGUAAAGGGCUCGUAGGCGGUUCGUCGCGUCCGGUGUGAAAGUCCAUCGCUUAACGGUGGAUCCGCGCCGGGUACGGGCGGGCUUGAGUGCGGUAGGGGAGACUGGAAUUCCCGGUGUAACGGUGGAAUGUGUAGAUAUCGGGAAGAACACCAAUGGCGAAGGCGAUCUGCUGGGCUUUAACUGACGCUGAGGCACGAAAGCAUGGGUAGCAAAC